rnacentral:rRNA from 1 species
GUUAAAACUUUCAACAACGGAUCUCUUGGUCCCCACAUCGAUGAAGAACGCAGCGAAAUGCGAUAAGUAAUGUGAAUUGCAGAAUUCAGUGAAUCAUCGAAUCUUUGAACGCACAUUGCGCCCUCUGGUAUUCCGGAGGGCAUGCCUGUUCGAGCGUCAUAAA